AUUGAACGCUGGCGGCAGGCCUAACACAUGCAAGUCGAACGGUAACAGGAAGAAGCUUGCUUCUUUGCUGACGAGUGGCGGACGGGUGAGUAAUGUCUGGGAAACUGCCUGAUGGAGGGGGAUAACUACUGGAAACGGUAGCUAAUACCGCAUAAUGUCGCAAGACCAAAGAGGGGGACCUUCGGGCCUCUUGCCAUCGGAUGUGCCCAGAUGGGAUUAGCUAGUAGGUGGGGUAACGGCUCACCUAGGCGACGACCCCUAGCUGGUCUGAGAGGAUGACCAGCCACACUGGAACUGAGACACGGUCCAGACUCCUACGGGAGGCAGCAGUGGGGAAUAUUGGACAAUGGGCGCAAGCCUGAUGCAGCUAUGCCGCGUGUAUGAAGAAGGCCUUCGGGUUGUAAAGUACUUUCGGCGGGGAGGAAGGGAGUAAAGUUAAUACCUUUGCUCAUUGACGUUACCCGCAGAAGAAGCACCGGCUAACUCCGUG
rnacentral:rRNA from 1 species